UCAAAUAAUUUGUCCAAUUUUUGUUUGUUUUCUCUCUUCUUCUUCUCUCUUCUUCUCUCUUCUUAUUUCAAAUCCGAA
rnacentral:ribozyme from 13 species